UCCAGCACCCAGGAAGCAAAGGCAGGUGGAUCUCUGAGUUUGAGCCAGAUUGGUCUACAGAGUGAGUUCAAGAACAGCCAUGGCUACACAGAGAAACCCUGGCUCAAAAACAACUCCCCCCCAAACCGAAUUCAAGUUACAAAACAGGAUAUAAAGAAAUUGCCACUUCCCUACUUCCUAAUAAACUCCAGUAGGAGGAUCACCUGGCCUACACACAGGAUAUAGUCCAAGCUGACACCUCUCCACCACCAGCCUGGGAGCUAGUGCCAAUGCCCACUGUUUCACUGAUGCUAGGCAGCCUUAGACAAUGAAGAAUCUCUGUUCAUCUCCAAAACACAGAGGGAUAUUUCAGGUUACCUUGGUCAUAGUGUCUCUUCCCAAGGAUAGAACAGUGACUAGAACAGCUGAGUUGCAGG